CACUCAGUCUAACACAAAACUCAUUAACCAACAUGCCUUUAAUCGCCAACUAAAAAUAAAAAACUAAACCCAUUCCCGUUCUCUGCCCCUUCUUCAUCAGAGUAGGCGUCAAUUCUGCACGGAUCAAAAAAGCUUAAGAUAUUUUUUAGGACUUUCUCAAGAUAAGAACUACAUGACUUGUCUUCCCAAGUAUCCGCAUCAGUGGAUGCAUGAUGACAUGUUAUUCGAGGAGGUUAGAAGACCAGCAUGUUGAGGAGGUAUACUGAUCAAAGUUUCUCUUGACGAGCCUGAUAUAUUCCGCAUGACCUGCUGCAACCAUUGAGAGGAUGAUGAUGAUGCUUAUGUGUGUACAAAGUGUGGUCAAAGCCUUAUAUAUGCCGUAUGAACUGAUGCAACCAUUUCAGAAAAUGUUUUGAUAUUUUAACUUCUAAAUUACAUAUGCAGAUUGACAUGCCUUAAAUUGAAGUCGGGGCCUGUUGGUAGACAGUUGAGUUCCAUUUUCUUGAAAAAGAUUAUGCCAUGAACCCCAUAUGUUUUAAUAAAAGCAAAACAGUCUUUGUUUUA